UGUCCGGCUUGAGCUUGAAUCCUGGCUCAGGACGAACGCUGGCGGCGUGCCUAAUACAUGCAAGUCGAGCGCAGGAAGCCGGCGGAUCCCUUCGGGGUGAAGCCGGUGGAAUGAGCGGCGGACGGGUGAGUAACACGUGGGCAACCUACCUUGUAGACUGGGAUAACUCCGGGAAACCGGGGCUAAUACCGGAUGAUCAUUUGGAUCGCAUGAUCCGAAUGUAAAAGUGGGGAUUUAUCCUCACACUGCAAGAUGGGCCCGCGGCGCAUUAGCUAGUUGGUAAGGUAAUGGCUUACCAAGGCGACGAUGCGUAGCCGACCUGAGAGGGUGAUCGGCCACACUGGAACUGAGACACGGUCCAGACUCCUACGGGAGGCAGCAGUAGGGAAUCAUCCGCAAUGGGCGAAAGCCUGACGGUGCAACGCCGCGUGAACGAUGAAGGUUUUCGGAUCGUAAAGUUCUGUUAUGAGGGAAGAACAAGUGCCGUUCGAAUAGGUCGGCACCUGACCGGUACCUCACGAGAAGCCCG
rnacentral:rRNA from 1 species